rnacentral:rRNA from 1 species
AUUGAAGGCUGGCGGCUGGCUUAACACAUGCAAGUCGAACGAGCGGCGGACGGGUGAGCAAUUUCUUGGAAACCGCCUGAUGGAGGGGGAUCACUCCUGGAAACGGUAGCUUAUCCCGCAUACCAUCGGAUUUGCCCUGAUGGGAUUAGCUAGUAGGUGGGGUAAAGGCUCACCUAGGCGACGAUCCCUAGCGGGUCUGAGCGGAUGACCAGCCACACGGGAACUGAGACACGGUCCAGACUCCUACGGGAGGCAGCAGUGGGGAAUAUUGCACAAUGGGCGAAAGCCUGAUGCAGCAAUGCCGCGUGUGUGAAGAAGGCCUUCGGGUUGUAAAGUACUUUCAGCGGGGAGGCGUUACCCGCAGAAGAAGCACCGGCUAACUCCGUGCCAGCAGCCGCGGUAAUAC